rnacentral:rRNA from 1 species
UACGUAGGGUGCAAGCGUUGUCCGGAAUUAUUGGGCGUAAAGAGCUCGUAGGCGGUUUGUCGCGUCUGCUGUGAAAACUGGGGCUCAACCCCCAGCCUGCAGUGGGUACGGGCAGACUAGAGUGCGGUAGGGGAGAUUGGAAUUCCUGGUGUAGCGGUGGAAUGCGCAGAUAUCAGGAGGAACACCGAUGGCGAAGGCAGAUCUCUGGGCCGCUACUGACGCUGAGGAGCGAAAGCAUGGGGAGCGAACAGG